rnacentral:rRNA from 1 species
AUAUGUUUUUAUAUCACCCUGCAGCCCAAGACCAGUUAUUCACUGAAGCUAAGCAGGGCUGAGCCUGGUCAGUACCUGGAUGGGAGACCACAUGGCAAAACUAGGUUGCUUUUG